rnacentral:lncRNA from 1 species
AUCCUUGCGACCUCCGCCCCAAGAGUCCUCGCCGCCGGCCAGCGCUACCAUCUUCUCGCAGUGCAAGCAGCCAUCGCCUUGUCGCCUUACUUGCCGGCGACCCAGCGCCGCUUCGUCGUCGUCGAGCUAGCGGCGCCGCAGCUCUCCCCUGGAGCCAUUGUCCUGCACCACCUCCCCGCGGACACGGUGCCGGCUGCAGCCGUAGUCUUCUCGUGGAUCCACCGGCCAACACCGCCACCAACCAUCUCGUCCACGGCCAUCUCCUCGCUUCUCAUGGCUGCUGCUCGUCGGCUCCUCCACACUUCUCCAGUUGGUACUGCCAUGCUCUGUGCGUAGGAUACACACUGGUCUGGGAUAUCAAUAAUGUUCCUCUUCUUUUGUAGGUUUCAUGGCUUUGCAGAUGCUUUUGUAGCUUUCAUGUGAUGACGAGGGCCUUCAUUUGUGCGAAUAUACACAAGUUGCUGGCAUUUCUUCAUUUUGCAUAGUACAAACUCUGCUGGUAUGUGCAAAUGAGGCCAUAUGGAUGGUUCAUCACCAUGAGGCUUCAAUCCAUAGUAACCGGCAAGGUCACAAAUUUAUCAUAACAGGAUUGAUGUGCAAAUCUGAUUAGAAAAGGGAGUAAAUUACAGACAGAUCAGGACUCUUUUCACUUUUUACUGAUGACAUGCUUCCUCAGUUAAUGAUGCUUUUAUUGAUCCGCUGCUUCUUCCACUCCAUGCGGUACACCUGUGAAAUGUGCCUGCUUUGACUAUUUUGUAUACAACAAUACAAGUACCCACCUCUUUCCUCUUGACAAGUGCCCACCUCUCCAUCAACCCCUUUCCUUCUCUCUAGGUGAGUAUUAAAGCUGCUGUCAUAUAUAUGGUGUUUGCUUCUUAAAAUUCUUUUGCUUUACAUAAAACUGCAAUCCAGACUAUGAACGAGCACUUAUGGUUGAAAUCCUAUAGCUCUUAAUUAUUAUUACUCUGAAUGUCUACUACUUUGCUAUGCUUCUUAUUUUCAGGGUAAACAUGUGCCAUGAAAAGUUGCAUUAGGUAAGUCUCAGCCAGCUAUUGCUGAUAAUCUGGCAUGAGCUACAUUUUUGUUAGGCUACAUUACUGUUGUUAUGGAAAAAUGAAAAGGUAUUAAACUGGGGUACUAUUGUUGCUAAUCUGGGAUGAGUUAGAUUUUUGUUGGGCUGCAUUACUGUUGUUAUGGAAAAUGGAAAGGUAUUAAGCAGGGGUACAUAUGUGUUGCUAAUCUGGGAUCAACUACAUUUAUUUCCCAGUUAGGUUCAUCUCUAGCAGCAUCAGCUUUAUAGAUCUUUUAUCUUAGUUAAUCCUAUUGAAUAGUGCUAUUUUGCCUUAAUUUUCCUUUCUUAUCUUCUGGAAUAGCAUAUCUUUACUUUCCUAAUUAUUUUCUACAAUAAUAUAA